rnacentral:rRNA from 1 species
UACGGGGGGGGCAAGCGUUGUUCGGAAUUACUGGGCGUAAAGGGCUCGUAGGCGGCCAACUAAGUCAGACGUGAAAUCCCUCGGCUUAACCGGGGAACUGCGUCUGAUACUGGAUGGCUUGAGGUUGGGAGAGGGAUGCGGAAUUCCAGGUGUAGCGGUGAAAUGCGUAGAUAUCUGGAGGAACACCGGUGGCGAAGGCAGCUCUCUGGGACGGUACUGACGCUGAGACGCGAAAGCGUGGGGAGCGAACAGG